rnacentral:rRNA from 1 species
GAUGAACGCUGGCGGCGUGCCUAAUACAUGCGAGUCGAGCGAACGGACGAGAAGCUUGCUUCUCUGAUGUUAGCGGCGGACGGGUGAGUAACACGUGGAUAACCUACCUAUAAGACUGGGAUAACUUCGGGAAACCGGAGCUAAUACCGGAUGAUAUUUUGAACCGCAUGGUUCAAAAGUGAAAGACGGUCUUGCUGUCACUUAUAGAUGGAUCCGCGCUGCAUUAGCUAGUUGGUAAGGUAACGGCUUACCAAGGCAACGAUGCAUAGCCGACCUGAGAGGGUGAUCGUCCACACUUGAACUGAGACUCGGUCCAGACUCCUACGGGAGGCAGCAGUAGGGAAUCUUCCGCAAUGGGCGAAAGCCUGACGGAGCAACGCCGCGUGAGUGAUGAAGGUCUUCGGAUCGUAAAACUCUGUUAUUAGGGAAGAACAUAUGUGUAAGUAACUGUGCACAUCUUGACGGUACCUAAUCAGAAAGCCACGGCUAACUACGUG